rnacentral:rRNA from 1 species
CCUACGGGGGGCUGCAGUAGGGAAUAUUGGACAAUGGGGGCAACCCUGAUCCAGCCAUGCCGCGUGCAGGAAGAAGGCCCUAUGGGUCGUAAACUGCUUUUGUACGGGAAGAAACCCACGCUUGCGAGCGUGGUUGACGGUACCGUGAGAAUAAGGAUCGGCUAACUUCGUGCCAGCAGCCGCGGUAAUACGAAGGAUCCAAGCGUUGUCCGGAUUUACUGGGUUUAAAGGGUGCGUAGGCGGACUUUUAAGUCAGUGGUGAAAGCCUGUAGCUU